GACCAGCUGCAUUUUAGCCAUGGCUUUACAGAGCACUCUGGAAGCGGUGUGGCUGAGCCUCCUCCUCAGCUUUCUCUGGAAAGUUGCAGAAAGCAAGGACCAAGUACUUCAGCCUUCCACUGUGGUAUCUUCGGAGGGAGCUGUGGCAGAAAUCUCCUGUAAUCACUCUAUAUCCACUGCUUACAACUUCUUCUGGUACCUUCACCUCCCAGGAUGUGCACCAAGACUCCUUAUUAAGGGCUCAAGCCCUUCUCAGCAGGGACGCUACAAUAUGACAUAUGAGCGAUUCUCCUCAUCACUGCUCAUCCUCCAGGUGCAGGUGGCAGACGCUGCCACUUACUACUGUGCUCUGGAGGACACAGAGGCAGGGAACCCAUGA